rnacentral:rRNA from 1 species
GAGUUUGAUCCUGGCUCAGGAUAAACGCUGGCGGCGCACAUAAGACAUGCAAGUCGAACGAACUUAAUUCAGAUGUUUACAUUUGGAAGCGGUUAGUGGCGGACUGGUGAGUAACACGUAAGCAACCUGCCUAUUAGAGGGGAAUAACAGUGAGAAAUCAUUGCUAAUACCGCAUAUGCCAUAAGUACCACAUGGUACUAGUGGGAAAGGAGAAAUCCGCUAAUAGAUGGGCUUGCGUCUGAUUAGAUAGUUGGUGGGGUAAAGGCCUACCAAGUCAACGAUCAGUAGCCGAACUGAGAGGUUGAACGGCCACAUUGGGACUGAGAUACGGCCCAGACUCCUACGGGAGGCAGCAGUCGGGAAUAUUGCACAAUGGAGGGAACUCUGAUGCAGUGACGCCGCGUGCAGGAAGAAGGUUUUCGGAUUGUAAACUGCUUUAGAUAGGGAAGAAAAAAGACAGUACCUAUAGAAUAAGCUCCGGCUAACUACGUG